rnacentral:tRNA from 2 species
GGACAGGUGCUAGAGCGGCCGAAUAGGACGGUCUCGAAAACCGUUGUGGUGCAAGCCACCGUGGGUUCAAAUCCCACCCUGUCCGCCA